rnacentral:rRNA from 1 species
AACGAACGCUGGCGGCAUGCCUAACACAUGCAAGUCGAACGAGACCUUCGGGUCUAGUGGCGCACGGGUGCGUAACGCGUGGUAACCUGCCCUUAGGUUCGGAAUAACUCCCCGAAAGGGGUGCUAAUACCGGAUAAUGUCUUCGGACCAACGAUUUAUCGCCUUUGGAUGGGCCCGCGUUGGAGUAGGUAGUGGGUAGGGUAAAAGCCUACCAAGGCGGCGAUCGAUAGCUGGUGGGAGAGGAUGAUCAGCGGCACUGGGACUGAGACACGGCCCAGACGCCUGCGGGAGGCAGCAAGGUGGAAUAAUGGACGCUGGGCGAAUGCCUGAUCCAGCAGUGCCGCGUGAGUGACGAAGGGUUGAGGGUUGUAAAGCUCUUUUACCCGGCAUGUUAAGGAGAGUACUGGAAGAGUAGGCUCGGCUUACCUCGGU